GACGAACGCUGGCGGCGUGCUUAACACAUGCAAGUCGAACGGAAAGGCCCUGCUUUUGUGGGGUGCGCGAGUGGCGAACGGGUGAGUAACACGUGAGUAACCUGCCCUUGACUUUGGGAUAACUUCAGGAAACUGGGGCUAAUACCGGAUAGGAGCUCCUGCUGCAUGGUGGGGGUUGGAAAGUUUCGGCGGUUGGGGAUGGACUCGCGGCUUAUCAGCUUGUUGGUGGGGUAGUGGCUUACCAAGGCUUUGACGGGUAGCCGGCCUGAGAGGGUGACCGGCCACAUUGGGACUGAGAUACGGCCCAGACUACUACGGGAGGCAGCAGUGGGGAAUAUUGCACAAUGGGCGGAAGCCUGAUUCAGCAACGCCGCGUGCGGGAUGACGGCCUUCGGGUUGUAAACCGCUUUCGCCUGUGACGAAGCGUGAGUGACGGUAAUGGGUAAAGAAGCACCGGCUAACUACGUG
rnacentral:rRNA from 1 species